UAAUACGUAGGGUGCGAGCGUUGUCCGGAAUUAUUGGGCGUAAAGAGCUCGUAGGCGGUGUGUCGCGUCGGUCGUGAAAACUUGGGGCUUAACCCUGAGCUUGCGGUCGAUACGGGCAUCACUGGAGUUCGGCAGGGGAGACUGGAAUUCCUGGUGUAGCGGUGAAAUGCGCAGAUAUCAGGAGGAACACCGGUGGCGAAGGCGGGUCUCUGGGCCGAUACUGACGCUGAGGAGCGAAAGCGUGGGGAGCGAACAGGAUUAGAUACCCUGGUAGUCCACGCCGUAAACGGUGGGCGCUAGGUGUGGGGGCCAUUCCACGGUCUCUGUGCCGCAGCUAACGCAUUAAGCGCCCCGCCUGGGGAGUACGGCCGCAAGGCUA
rnacentral:rRNA from 1 species